rnacentral:rRNA from 1 species
UAGGGAAUCUUCGGCAAUGGACGAAAGUCUGACCGAGCAACGCCGCGUGAGUGAAGAAGGUUUUCGGAUCGUAAAACUCUGUUGUUAGAGAAGAACAAGGACGUUAGUAACUGAACGUCCCCUGACGGUAUCUAACCAGAAAGCCACGGCUAACUACGUGCCAGCAGCCGCGGUAAUACGUAGGUGGCAAGCGUUGUACGGAUUUAUUGGGCGUAAAGCGAGCGCAGGCGGUUUCUUAAGUCUGAUGUGAAAGCCCCCGGCUCAACCGGGGAGGGUCAUUGGAAACUGGGGGACUUGAGUGCAGAAGAGGGGGGUGGAAUUCCAUGUGUAGCGGUGAAAUGCGUAGAUAUAUGGAGGAACACCAGUGGCGAAGGCGGCUCUCUGGUCUGUAACUGACGCUGAGGCUCGAAAGCGUGGGGAGCAAACAGG